AGAGUUUGAUCCUGGCUCAGGAUGAACGCUAGCGACAGGCUUAACACAUGCAAGUCGAGGGGCAGCGGGGAGGUAGCAAUACUUCCGCCGGCGACCGGCGCACGGGUGAGUAACACGUAUGGAACCUGCCCGUAGCAGGGGGAUAAGCGGAAGAAAUUCCGUCUAAUACCGCGUAAUAACUCCGAGAGGCAUCUCAUGGAGUUUAAAGGGUAACACCGGCUACGGAUGGCCAUGCGGCGCAUUAGCUAGUUGGCGGGGUAACGGCCCACCAAGGCGACGAUGCGUAGGGGUUCUGAGAGGAAGGUCCCCCACACUGGUACUGAGACACGGACCAGACUCCUACGGGAGGCAGCAGUGAGGAAUAUUGGUCAAUGGGCGCGAGCCUGAACCAGCCAAGUCGCGUGAGGGAAGACGGUCCUAUGGAUUGUAAACCUCUUUUGUCGGGGAGCAAAAGACGCCACGCGUGGCGUUCCGAGAGUACCCGAAGAAAAAGCAUCGGCUAACUCCGUGCCAGCAGCCGCGGU
rnacentral:rRNA from 1 species